rnacentral:rRNA from 1 species
UACGUAGGGUGCAAGCGUUGUCCGGAAUUAUUGGGCGUAAAGAGCUCGUAGGCGGUUUGUCGCGUCGGCUGUGAAAACUCGGGGCUCAACCCCGAGCCUGCAGUCGAUACGGGCAGACUAGAGUGCUGUAGGGGAGACUGAAUUCCUGGUGUAGCGGUGAAAUGCGCAGAUAUCAGGAGGAACACCGGUGGCGAAGGCGGGUCUCUGGGCAGUAACUGACGCUGAGGAGCGAAAGCGUGGGGAGCAAACAGG